GUAGGAUUGUACAUCAUGAGGUGCGUCAUUGGGCUGCAGUAUGAGAUUGUCAGGUUAGCUGGAGAGGGCAAUUGCUGAUGGAAUUUAAACCUUGUGUGUGAGGUGGUGAGAGGCUGGUAGGUGUAUGGACAAGCUGCCGGAGGAGGGACUAAUUGCAAUAUUAAUGCAAUAUUGAAGAAACAUUUAGAUGGAUACAUGGAUAGGACAGUUUAGAGGAGGGAAAAUGCAGGCAGGUGAGACUAGUGUAGAUGGGACGAGUUGGCCGGUGUGGGCA